CCUACGUGAGGCUGCAGUGAGGAAUAUUGGUCAAUGGGCUUACGCCUGAACCAGCCAAGUCGCGUGAGGGAAGACUGCCCUAUGGGUUGUAAACCUCUUUUGUCAGGGUGCAACGCCUGCUCCGUGUCGCCGGACUGAGAGUACCUGAAGAACAAGCAUCGGCUAACUCCGUACCAGCAGCCGCGGUACUACGGAGGAUGCGAGCGUUAUCCGGAUUUGUUGUGUUUAAAGGGUGCGUAGGCGGAAUGCCAAGUCAGCGGUAAAAUCGCGGGGCUCAACCUCGCUCCGCCGUUGAAACUGGCGGUCUUGAGUGGGCGAGAAGUAUGCGGAAUGCGUGGUGUAGCGGUGAAAUGCAUAGAUAUCACGCAGAACUCCGAUUGCGAAGGCAGCAUACCGGCGCCCAACUGACGCUGAAGCACGAAAGCGUGGGUAUCGAACAGGAUUAGAUACCCGAGUAGUC
rnacentral:rRNA from 1 species